rnacentral:tRNA from 1 species
GAUUCUGUAGUGUAGCGGUUAUCACAUUCGCUUCACACGCGAAAGGUCCCCGGUUCGAACCCGGGCGGAAUCA